rnacentral:rRNA from 1 species
AGUGAACGCUGGCGGUAGGCCUAACACAUGCAAGUCGAACGGCAGCACAGUAAGAGCUUGCUCUUACGGGUGGCGAGUGGCGUACGGGUGAGGAAUACAUCGGAAUCUACUUUUUCGUGGGUGAUAACGUAGGGAAACUUACGCUACUACCUCAUACGUCCUACGGGUGAAAGCAGUGGAUCUUCGGACCUUGCGCGAUUGUAUGAGCCGAUGUCGGAUUAGCUAGUUGGCGGGGUAAAGGCCCACCAAGGCGACGAUCCGUAGCUGGUCUGAGAGGAUGAUCAGCCACACUGGAACUGAGACACGGUCCAGACUCCUACGGGAGGCAGCAGUGGGGAAUAUUGGACAAUGGGCGCAAGCCUGAUCCAGCCAUACCGCGUGGGUGAAGAAGGCCUUCGGGUUGUAAAGCCCUUUUGUUGGGAAAGAAAAGCAGCAGGUUAAUACCCCGCUGUUCUGACGGUACCCAAAGAAUAAGCACCGGCUAACUUCGUG